CAAUGAUAAUGACUUUUGAUUGUCUUAAACUUCUGUGAGCAAGGUUUGUGUUCACAUUUUUGGUUAAGUGCCAUUGCAGAGAGCUACAGCAACUGAAAGUUUCGUGACAUGAUAUUCAACAUGAAAUUUAAUUUACUACUUAUUCUGAUGACUUUCAUGGUCAGCAACGCAAAAUAUUCAGGAGCAGUGGAGGAUCAGGUAUUUAUAUAAUUGGUGCUAAAUACCAACUCAGAUUUGUGUGCUGUGAGAAAUAUUUUCUAUCAGUCAUUGUAUUGCUAUAUUAUACAGUAUAUGAAUAUAUGAAUAAGCUUUUGUUGGUAGGUAGUUGCAUCCCUGACAACAAAAGCUUGUUCAUAUAAUUGGCACUACUUACUCUGGCACAGACAGUUCAAGAUUAUGAAAAUAUAUAAAUAUUUUAACGUAUAAUUGAUUAUUAGCUUAAUUCUUUCAGACAUGCCCAACCAAAGUCCGGUGCAUCAAGCCAAAACCUAAAGCCCGAAGUUGCCUUGACUAUCGCAGGAUGGGUUUCAGCAAAAAUGGCUACUAUCAGAUCUCUCUCUUUCACAACCGCUUCGUCACCGUAUAUUGUGAUUUUGAAUCCGAGCCUGGGUCAGCAUGGACACUCGUUGAGUCAUUCUCGUUCGAGAACAGAAAAAUAAAAGAGGUUAUGAGACGUUCUUUCUCCGAAAACGCACCACUUAACGAGAACACACCCAACUGGUACCGAUAUCGAAUGUCCCACUCUCAAAUGAAUCAUUGCAAACAGCAAUCAACGCAUUGGCGAGUGACCUGCAGCUUUCCACAAGAUGCAAAGCACAUCUACACCGACUACUGCCGUACAACAUUUAAGAAUUUUGACGUAAUGACCUUUCGUAGCCACGGCGUUUGCAAAAAGAUGGAAUUCGUGAAUAUUCGGGGCCAUCAAUGCUCAUAUUGCACUUUAUUGUGGUACACAAAAAUAGGACGAGAAAUGAUGCAUGUCGACAGUCGUGCCAGUGCAAACUGUGAUCUUAAUGCAGCUCUUGGUUCAGUUGUUGAUGAAGAUAACUUUGGUUGGUACGCUUCUACGAACAGCAAGUUCAGAUGCACAGCUGGUCCCGAUUCGACAACAAACUGGUGGUUCGGAGGUUAUUACUAAACUCAAAGAGAUGUACUGAUCAUAAUAACAAAAGUACUAAAAGGUCCUUAAUUUAAAAUUUAACGCCUGUCUAUAUAUCUUUGACAAUAUAGUUGCACUUAUGCAGUAGAGUUAUUGUAAUUUGGGAAAUAUUAAAAUGUUCGAUUAGUAGAACAUGCUUUGUAUAGCAAACAGGUUUUUUCAUCACAAUAAAAUAAGGACUCCAUUUUGUUAAUAUACACCAGGACUCCAAAUAAUUUCCCUAGCCUGUCAUUAACUUACUAAAGUAUAUUAAUUUACCUAUCACUGCUCGACAAAGAUUGG